UGGAAGUGUCCUGUUGCCCAA
rnacentral:piRNA from 2 species